AGGGAAACACAGUCCAUUCUUCCAGUUCUUACAGUGGAAAGAGAGUUCUUGGAAUGAUAGGUGCUGUAUCCAGAACAUGACCACAGGGGGAUGCCUGGAGGACGAGAGGAAGUGCGCAGACGAUGACAGAACUGGAGAAAGUGGGUCCCAGACAGCAUGGCUUCAGCUCUCUGAAGAUUAGUGGAAGAUGAUGGCUGAUCUGGG
rnacentral:lncRNA from 1 species